rnacentral:sRNA from 1 species
AAUACAUCAACAUUGUCAGACAAAAAAAACAUUAAAUUUGUUGUUAAAAUUUUUAAAAAAUAAAAGUUUUUUGCUCUUGCUAAAAUGUCACAUCAACAAAUGGAUUAUCCUUGUGCCAUAUGUUUGCAGCGAAAGCAAUCACCUUACCCUUGGCCAUGUGGCCAUUCAAUUUGUGAAUCAUGUGUGGGAAAAUAUUUGUGGCAUGUUGGCUAUGUUCGGCCCAAAGAAUGUCCAAGAUGCGGUGGAGUUAAAGGUAAUUGAAAGACUCCAACUCUAACAUCGAAGAGGCUGGUGGCAACUAAAAACGGCAAACCAGAGUGAUGAUUAAAAUUGUUCAUAAAAGAUUUAAUAAGCCUUUUUUACACACCUUUUAUAUUAGUUUUAAAUUUUGAAGACUAUGUCAAGCACGAAAUGACAAGGACUCUAACAUUUUCUAUGGAAAUUAAAUAUUAACCUAACUGCCUACGUGGUGGUCAAUUUUACACCCUCAACACAUUAAUGUUUAAUAAUAAAAAUUGCGCCCUCUAGAGGCUCAAAGAGUCAAA